rnacentral:rRNA from 1 species
ACGCAUGCGGCAGGCUUACCACAUGCAAGUCGAGGGGUAUAGUUCUUCGGAAUUGGAGACCGGCGCACGGGUGCGUAACGCGUAUGCAAUCUACCUUUUACAGAGGGAUAGCCCAGAGAAAUUUGGAUUAAUACCUCAUAGCAUUGCGAAAUGGCAUCAUUUUAUAAUUAAAGUCACAACGGUAAAAGAUGAGCAUGCGUCCCAUUAGCUAGUUGGUAAGGUAACGGCUUACCAAGGCUACGAUGGGUAGGGGUCCUGAGAGGGAGAUCCCCCACACUGGUACUGAGACACGGACCAGACUCCUACGGGAGGCAGCAGUGAGGAAUAUUGGACAAUGGGCGCAAGCCUGAUCCAGCCAUGCCGCGUGCAGGAUGACGGUCCUAUGGAUUGUAAACUGCUUUUAUACGAGAAGAAACACUGCUUCGUGAAGGAGCUUGACGGUAUCGUAAGAAUAAGGAUCGGCUAACUCCGUGCCAGCAGCCGCGGUAAUACGGAGGAUCCAAGCGUUAUCCGGAAUCAUUGGGUUUAAAGGGUCCGUAGGCGGUUUAAUAAGUCAGUGGUGAAAGCCCAUCGCUCAACGGUGGAACGGCCAUUGAUACUGUUAAACUUGAAUUAUUAGGAAGUAACUAGAAUAUGUAGUGUAGCGGUGAAAUGCUUAGAGAUUACAUGGAAUACCAAUUGCGAAGGCAGGUUACUCUAUAAUGGAUUGACGCUGAUGGACGAAAGCGUGGGUAGCGAACAGGAUUAGAUACCCUGGUAGUCCACGCCGUAAACGAUGGAUACUAGCUGUUGGAAGCAAUUUCAGUGGCUAAGCGAAAGUGAUAAGUAUCCCACCUGGGGAGUACGUUCGCAAGAAUGAAACUCAAAGGAAUUGACGGGGGCCCGCACAAGCGGUGGAGCAUGUGGUUUAAUUCGAUGAUACGCGAGGAACCUUACCAAGGCUUAAAUGUAGAUUGACCGAUUUGGAAACAGAUCUUUCGCAAGACAAUUUACAAGGUGCUGCAUGGUUGUCGUCAGCUCGUGCCGUGAGGUGUCAGGUUAAGUCCUAUAACGAGCGCAACCCCUGUUGUUAGUUGCCAGCGAGUCAUGUCGGGAACUCUAACAAGACUGCCAGUGCAAACUGUGAGGAAGGUGGGGAUGACGUCAAAUCAUCACGGCCCUUACGCCUUGGGCUACACACGUGCUACAAUGGCCGGUACAGAGAGCAGCCACUGGGCGACCAGGAGCGAAUCUAUAAAACCGGUCACAGUUCGGAUCGGAGUCUGCAACUCGACUCCGUGAAGCUGGAAUCGCUAGUAAUCGGAUAUCAGCCAUGAUCCGGUGAAUACGUUCCCGGGCCUUGUACACACCGCCCGUCAAGCCAUGGAAGCUGGGGGUGCCUGAAGUCGGUGACCGCAAGGAGCUGCCUAGGGUAAAACUGGUAACUAGGGCUAAGUCGCAACAAGGUAGCCGUACC